rnacentral:snRNA from 1 species
AUACUCUGGUUUCUCUUCAAGUUGCAUAAAUCUUUCGCCUUUUACUAAAGAUUUCCGUGGAGGGGAGCAGUUACGAGUCUCGACCCAUUUUUGGAGGCCCUGCUUUGGCAGGGCU